GACGAACGCUGGCGGCGUGCUUAACACAUGCAAGUCGAACGAAGAGCGAUGGAAGCUUGCUUCUAUCAAUCUUAGUGGCGAACGGGUGAGUAACGCGUAAUCAACCUGCCCUUCAGAGGGGGACAACAGUUGGAAACGACUGCUAAUACCGCAUACGAUCUAAUCUCGGCAUCGAGGAUAGAUGAAAGGUGGCCUCUACAUGUAAGCUAUCACUGAAGGAGGGGAUUGCGUCUGAUUAGCUAGUUGGAGGGGUAACGGCCCACCAAGGCGAUGAUCAGUAGCCGGGCUGAGAGGAUGAACGGCCACAUUGGGACUGAGACACGGCCCAGACUCCUACGGGAGGCAGCAGUGGGGAAUCUUCCGCAAUGGACGAAAGUCUGACGGAGCAACGCCGCGUGAGUGAUGACGGCCUUCGGGUUGUAAAGCUCUGUUAAUCGGGACGAAAGGCCUUCUUGCGAAUAGUGAGAAGGAUUGACGGUACCGGAAUAGAAAGCCACGGCUAACUACGUG
rnacentral:rRNA from 1 species